rnacentral:lncRNA from 1 species
GACGUUCUCGCUAUAGUUCAUCAUUAAAAAAAAAAGAAAUUGUGAGUGCGAAGCCAGCCACGCACGCUGUUCCUUCUCAACCAAGAAGGCUUCCCGGCGCCGACCACCCCUGCUUCCCUUCUCCUCCACCGCCGGCGCUGCUUCCUGGUCGGCGACCACCGCCGCCGCUGCUCCCCGGUCAGCGCCCACCGCUGUCGCUGUGCCCCGGCCAGCAACCUUCUCACC